rnacentral:rRNA from 1 species
UUUUGCCWGYUUGCCGUUUUUUAUACCAAGAAGUUGAGUCAUAAGGAUAUAUGGUGAAAAGACAGUUAAGUAUUAAAGUGUGGAAGGGUUAAUUUGAUAUAAUACAUAGAGGUAAAAUUUAAGUGUAGUUAUAUAAAUCGAAGGUAGCUUGGGAACUGAAUCUGUGAAAUCCUUGAGGGAAACUGGGAUUAGGUACCCCACUAUUCUUGGAUGUAAAUGGAGAGAUUUUACCAGAGUACUAUGAACGUUGUAAAUUUAAAACUCAAAGAACUUGGCGGUGUUUUAGACCGCUUAGGGGAACCUGUCUCAUAAUCGACAAUCCACGUUGUACCUGACCUUUUUUUGUUUUCAGUUUGUAUACCGUUGUCGUCAGGUAACUUUUUAGAAAGUAGAAGUUGGCUAUGAAAAUAGGUGGUUUAAUACGUCAAAUCAAGGUGCAGCUAAUAAAAGGGGGGGAUGGGUUCAAAU